CCCUGCUAGCCUUUUCCCAAUGAUUUUAGUACUAAUGGCAAAGGGUUCACCUGAGUUAGCGCACUGUUAUCUGCGGGAUGAUACGCUCGCAGCUGAAUAUCAAAGAAUAAUAGGAAUUAAGGGAGUUGGCCUUUUCUAUCGAAUCAGUAAUGAGCCGUCCAUCACCAUCUUUGAUCGCCGGAACAUUUUCUGUUUCCUUUACAUCUUUUUACAUAUUUGUAGAAAUCAGUCCAGCAUUUACCUUCAUUUCUUAAUAAUGUCCUUAAAAAUGUUUCCUGUUCAUUUUGUUUGGCUAAUAGCAACUGCUUUGAGAGUCAUUCCAGUUCCUCUUGGUACUGUUGCUCUAUUUUUCUUCUAUUAUAUGCUUUUCUGACUUUUGACUUUAACCAGUUCACUUCCUUAUUGUAGUAUUCAGGGUCUGAAUUUUUCCUCAGUAUUUUAUGUGGCACAAAACGUUUGUAAUCCUAAAACAUUUGUUAUAUGGUACACCAGGACUAAUCUUUCUACCUGAGGUUCACAGCAAUUUUCUUCCCAUUCCACUUCUAACAAUACCCAAAGUUGUCACUGAUCCCCUGUACAAUGCUGCAGGAGGUAAACAAACUUUCAGGCUGGACAAGGUAAACAUCCUGCAAUGCAUCCCCUCUGGUUGGACUAUCUACUACCUGCAUAUAACCAUUUUCCCAUAGCAGUCUAUUUAUGAGUGCCUGAUUUCCACGUUUCCAUUCCAAUCUGCAUAGGGCAAGUUCAAAUAACCUCCAACAAUGCUACGCCUCGUAGAAUUUCCUAAAUAACAGGUUUGGGCUGUCAAUCUUUCUAUAACUCGCAUGUCCUCGUUCUGAGCUCUGUAGAUGCCUGAUAUCCCAUGUAAAUUUAGGGUCCCUGCCUUUUGCUUCAACUACUAACAUCUCAAAGUCCUCAUCCACCCAUAGUUCCAAGCAAGCUAUGUAAUUUUUUUACACAAAUGAACACUCCCCCCACCUUGUGUAUUCCUGUCUCUCCUAAAGGUUGUGUAAUCGUUCCUAACUCAGGCGAACCCUUCGCCAUUAGUACUAAAAUCAUUAGAAAAAGGCUAGCAGGGAUGGGAAAAAGCAAAUCAGUAGGGCCUGACAGCAUUUCUGGGGAUAUUCUAAAAUUGGGUGGGGAAGCCAUGAUUCCAUACCUGGCGCGAUUAUUGGACGUAACAAUUAAUAAUGCCACUAUACCAAGGGACUGGAAAAAAGCCAUAGUGGUUCCUAUUUACAAAGGAGGUGAUCGAUCAUUGGUCACAAAUUACAGACCGGUCAGUUUAACAUCGGUGGUCUGCAAACAAAUGGAACACGUUAUAGCAUCUUGUAAAUACUUGGGAAUUAUCUUAAGCAGCGAUUUAAGCUGGGCUGAUCAAGUAAAUUAUACGGU